rnacentral:rRNA from 1 species
GACGAACGCUGGCGGCGUGCUUAACACAUGCGAGUCGAACGGAAAGGCCCUGCUUUUGUGGGGUGCUCGAGUGGCGAACGGGUGAGUAACACGUGAGUAACCUGCCCUUGACUUUGGGAUAACUUCAGGAAACUGGGGCUAAUACCGGAUAGGAGCUCCUGCUGCAUGGUGGGGGUUGGAAAGUUUCGGCGGUUGGGGAUGGACUCGCGGCUUAUCAGCUUGUUGGUGGGGUAGUGGCUUACCAAGGCUUUGACGGGUAGCUGGCCUGAGAGGGUGACCGGCCACAUUGGGACUGAGAUACGGCCCAGACUCCUACGGGAGGCAGCAGUGGGGAAUAUUGCACAAUGGGCGGAAGCCUGAUGCAGCAACGCCGCGUGCGGGAUGACGGCCUUCGGGUUGUAAACCGCUUUCGCCUGUGACGAAGCGUGAGUGACGGUAAUGGGUAAAGAAGCACCGGCUAACUACGUG